UGGGGAAUUUUGGACAAUGGGCGCAAGCCUGAUCCAGCCAUGCCGCGUGCGGGAAGAAGGCCUUCGGGUUGUAAACCGCUUUUGUCAGGGAAGAAAUCUUCUGAGUUAAUACCUCGGGAGGAUGACGGUACCUGAAGAAUAAGCACCGGCUAACUACGUGCCAGCAGCCGCGGUAAUACGUAGGGUGCAAGCGUUAAUCGGAAUUACUGGGCGUAAAGCGUGCGCAGGCGGUUUUGUAAGACAGAGGUGAAAUCCCCGGGCUCAACCUGGGAACUGCCUUUGUGACUGCAAGGCUUGAGUGCGGCAGAGGGGGAUGGAAUUCCGCGUGUAGCAGUGAAAUGCGUAGAUAUGCGGAGGAACACCGAUGGCGAAGGCAAUCCCCUAGGCCUGCACUGACGCUCAUGCACGAAAGCGUGGGGAGCAAACAGGAUUAGAUACCCUGGUAGUCCACGCCCUAAACGAUGUCAACUGGUUGUUGGGAAGGUUCCUUCUCAGUAACGUAGCUAACGCGUGAAGUUGACCGCCUGGGGAGUACGGCCGCAAGGUU
rnacentral:rRNA from 1 species